rnacentral:lncRNA from 1 species
AGUGAGUUCUCAUGAUCUACCAGUGAUGUCUAGUAAUAUGUAGUGGCAACCCAAUAAAAUCAAAAAGUAAAUAUUUAGGUAUAAUUAUCGUGUAAUAUAAUCCCUUUAUCGAGAGUUCCAACUUGAUGGAGGUCAUGAAAAACUCGUCAAACCCCAUCGUCAGUCAUAUGCUAGAUUGGCUCAACUCAAGUUCAUUUGUGAAUCUCAUGAAAACUCUUUUCUAAUAUUCACACUUACUCUGGUCAGAGAUUUUCUAAACUCAGUCUUACGAAUCGUAUAGGAUUUUUCCUUUUCUAUCAAGAUCAAUAGAUUCCAUCUAAAUGUAUCAUACUCCAAACAGCGAACCUGAACCUACAUAGCCAACAUACACAGCAAGGAUCCAUAUGACUAGGGACUAAGAGAACAUGUAGUCAAACUAUAUAGCCUCACUGCGAAUAGCCAACACACC